rnacentral:lncRNA from 1 species
AGAGGGUUUAUGGACAAAGGAAUUGCCAAGAGAGUCUCACAUCUAUGGAUCUUAACCAGGUUUGUAGAGAACUUAAAGGUAUAAACACGUAAUAUGUUCAAUAAACCAUAAAACAGGAACGAACUCACCAAAUUCGUUUAUUAGGGUUUCAAGAAAUUACAGCAAACCACUGAAUCAAGUGUAAAGACUUUCAGAUCUACAACAAUCUAAGCCAAAAACCACCGUCUAACCUCUCUGAUACCACUGUUAUGACUAGGUUUAAGAUAUUAGGCAACAUUCAUCAACCAGAAAUAACAAAAAUAUAACAAAAUUGAAAGACACAGAACAUAAGAGAUCUUCGCCCUAAGGCAAGAGGGUCAAAGUAAGCUCCUAAUUCCCUUUUGUGUUUCCACCACUGGAAGAGAUUAUUGCAUUAACCAGAACCAAAGACCGUCCAGGAUUACAAUUCAAACCCAAACUAAAAAAUCACUCAAGAUUUACAAAAAAACCUCUUGAACUAUACAUGAAAUCAACCACCAUUUACAGAUCAAUCAAGACUUGCAGUACAUGAUUUCAUCUAGAAGAUAAAGUAUCUUCAAUUCGCAAUCGAGAGAAGGGAGUGAAAAAUGAUACUCAUAAGUCAUAGAGAAAGGGAAGAGAAACAGCCCCAAAACGAAUGGAAUGUAUAAUGAAUGAUAACCCUAGACGUCAAUGACCAAGUACAUAGAGGUCAUCGGAAGGUCACCAAUGCAACGGCUGAGGAGGCAACACCUGGCAUCAUCUUGUUUACUUAGCCCACUAAUAAAGUCGCAUUUUAGACACACGAGAUUAGUUCAAAAAUUAUAAGGCGUUAAUUAGUCAACAUGUUUUUCUUCACAAUUAAAUCAAACUGGUCAACAGUCAACAAUUCAUCCAUCCAGUCAGUAAAUUGACUCCACAUCAUUGUACCACAUCAUCACACAUUUCUAUCACAUACAAUGUUUAGAAGAAUUAAUUUGAAUAUUUAAGAUGAUUUUGUUGGGGAAAAUAAGACAUUUUGACUAGAUUAAUGUCACCGGCUUAUUAAACCUAAAAAAUCUUCAAAUCAGUUCGCCAAAAACUUCGUAACAUAUACUUGCCAUUAAUUCAAGAUAUUAUGCCUCAAAUUGAUUAGAAUUGAAAUAAAAGCAGAUCCAAUCCUACUUCGAAGUGACGCCCAAUAUGAUAAUUAAUUGUAAGAUAUCUAUAAAUAAUGAUGACCAUCUAUCUUGCAAUUUAUCCAUAUAUUGUUGUUUUACAGAUAAAAUGUGUUAAAAUCAAAUUCAUAUUCUCUUGAAGUCUGAAAUUCUGAAUAGUUUUCAUCAAAUUCAAAUGCAACAUAUAUGUGUGUUAGGUCUAGUAUAAUUCUCCUUUCUAUUUGCGACUAUGAUAAUGUAGAGAAAAUUCCAAGAACUUCGUGUAUACUAAAAAAAAGAUUGAACCCCAACCUUAAGAACCCCCACCACCCCACUCUUAGAGUUUUGUGAGGGAGGUAAAUUGCGGGAUGUGCCUUAGUAGGCCAGGGAACAAGAGCUGCUUGUACACUACGCCUAGAAGGAGUCCAAUUCCAUGUCUCAAGAAUCGAAUCCCCACACUGCGACUGUCAGCAAGGCGUGAGAUAACUUCACUCCUAUUCUUUGUACCACUAAACUAUGCGCAGGGGGGGCUAACUACGUGUAUACUAGCUUAUAGCAAGUGGGACGUUAAGGUUAAGCUUGAUGAGGCUGUCCACUAAAAGCGAGGCCUAACAAAACUAGAGGGCCACCAAUCUGAAACAAAUAUUUUCUGUUUUCUUGAUUAAUUGUAUAUUUUUUUUAAGUAACAUCGUGCAUAAACAUGGAAUUUAGUGAUAAACUAUUUUAAACUAAUUUACCACAAAAAGUAUUGAUUGAUUAGAUUCCCUGAUAGAGAAGUUUACAUAAACAUCUUACGUAUUUACAUCAAGGAAUGUCAAUCCACCAUGUAUAUAUGAAGCUAAUUGAAAAUUUAAGCAUGACAGUUUAUAGGUCCAUUGAGUUUCCAAACUUGUAUAUGAUGUUUCACUCCCUCAUAUCGUUUUCUUCAAAUCUUGAAAAUAUUUGUAAACAUGACUACAUCUUUACGCAUAUAUGAUUUCAUUGAAAUUUGAGAUAGAGCCUAUUUUAAUUAGAAUUGGGGACACCUAUAUUAAUAUGAGCUCAGAAAUUUCAUUGAAAUUUGAGAUAAGUAUAAAUGAGAUUUGGUUACCAUUUGGUUAUUGAAUGAAAUAGAAAAGGUAAUAUUAUCCUUCCCAAUUAAAUUAAAAAAUUUCUAGGUUGUUGAUGCAUUUGUAAAUACAUAUUAGGGAGCGGAAACUAGAUCGUAGCCCAAUAAUAUGGAACUGAUUAAUCAAAAGAAAGAGAAACACUUGCAAUGUAUUAAAGCUGAUUUUUAUUGAAUAUUCUUUGUUGUAUCGAGAAAAUUCUUUUAUCAAACAUCAUAUUUUAUUUUAUUUUAUUUUUUUCAGCUUUCCAUAUUUAUUUUUCUAUACGACCCUUGGUAUGACUGCAACUUUGCCAUGGUCGUCAACAAAAAUCCAAACUUGGUUACAAUGAAAAUCUUGAGUUACCUUAUGUUAUUCAUAAAUUAUCACAGUAGUCACAUAUUGGUUGUCUUUGUUGAUGAUGCUCUUGGCUUGGUCUCCAUCCAUAUCAAUUGUGUUAAGCAACG